GCUCCCCCCACCGCGGCCGGCCCGGCCCGCCCGGGGGCAGAGGCGGAGGCGGGGACUCGGCGCGGCUGCCUCCUCGGGGCAGAGUCCCGGGCCGGGCGGCGGCGCGCGGACAAAGCGCUCUCUCUGCCUCCCUCUCUCUCCCUCUCAAGGCGGUGGCGGGAGGAGGAGCAGCGGCGGGCGGCGGCAGCGCACCCCGCGUGUGUCUGUGUGAGAGUUUGUACGGGCGUGUGCGCAGCCGAGAGGGAGCGAGCGAGCGCCCCCUCCCCGCCCCGCGCCGCUGCGCCCCUCGCCUCGCGCCCACCGCGCUCGGCAGUGGCUGCUCGGGCUCCGGCCCCGCGCCAGGCGGGCGGAAGCGGGUCGCGGCCCCGGGCUGGGGCUCCGGGCGCCGGAACCCCGGGCGGGCGCGGCGCCGAGGCCGGGCGAGCGGCGGGGCGGGGAAGGCGCGCCCCGGGCGCGGGUGGGAGCGCGCGAGGGGGCGACGGGGAGCCGCGGGCGUGGGAGGGAGAGGGGCUGCGAGUGAGCGCGGAGAGGGGUGUGCGCAAGGUGGACCGGAUGUGAGUGCGCUGCUGCCAGGGCAAGCGGGAAGGUGUGUCCCGGAGGUGAGAGGCGAGGGCAGGCUGGGAGACAACAACUUUCGCAGCGACUUGGCCGGGGCUGGCGCCCUGCGCGUUCCCGGGCCGUGCGCUCGCUCUGAGACCCGCUCCCCGCCACGCUCUCUGAGGUGACCGAGCGGCGCGUGUGGUCGAAGGAUCGCGCGCGGGAGUCGGGACGCCUAGGACCGGGGUUGGCCGGGCCCUCGCGGACCGUGCUCGCGGGGAAGUGGUUCCCGGUCCCGGGCCUCAGUUUCCCGACCGGGGAGGGAAGGCGGAAGGCCAGCGCGGAGUCACGUCCUCUCCGCCCAGACCCCGCGUGUCCGGAACCCCGCGGCAGGCGGCAGCCUGACGUUGGCAGCUGCUCUCUAUUCUGGGAAGUGCCGAGGGCUUCCCGGGCGGCGGCGGCGAAAGCCAGGUGGCGGGUGGGGAAACGAACGCCGAGGGGCCAGGGACUGCGGCGAGGCCGGAGCGCUGGGGUCAGCGGCCGGGGGACGGAUGGUCGCCGCCCGGCUGCGCGGCCGGUUCAGCUCCAAAGCCAGGGUGGUGGGAGGCGAGGGUGGCUGGAAGCGGAGGAGCGCAGGCUGUGUAGGAGUUCCCCGAGCACUGGGAAGGGCCCGGAGAGGAAAGAGGUCCUUCCAAGCGGAGGAAACAACGUGACCGACGGAAGAGGCAGGGUUGGGAUGAGAGCAGGCUGGAGCCGAGGGGCUCGGGCAGGAGCCAGACAGGCUAGAGCGGGCUGCAAGUUCCGGGGCCCGGCUGGAAGCCUGAUGGUUAGAGCCUGGUCCCAGCCAGGAAAUGAAAUUCUACAGGAGGGAGAAGAAUGGCGGGAUUCAGAGGUGAGGAGGCAGAAGAAGAUUCCAAGCUCUGGACCUCUGGGGGCCACUGGGAGAGUUGAAGGUUUGAUCGCGGAUAUGUUGGGUUUUGUGAAGGCGUUGGGGCGCGGGUGCGGGGAGUGUCCUUGGGUGGAGAAGUCACGAAUGUAGGAAUGGAACAAGUUCGGGUCUCCUGACUGGGUCGUGAAGUAGUAUUGUCUUUCCCAAGCUUUCCUGUUGAUGAGCGGCGUGGAGAGAAUGGGGCUUGCUGGAUUUUGUAUUUUCCGCAAGUACUCCCAGGUGAUUCUGGUCUGGUAAACACUGUUGGAGUGGAAGGCCUAUCUGCCCCGGACUCAGACCUUCUCUCUGCCCCCAUCUUUGUGCCCUGAGAUGUUCCAGCAUUCUCGAGCCUAAGUUUCUUCAUCUAUAAGGAGAUAAAAUAACCAGUCCUCGCAGGGCUGUUGUGAGGGCUACAAGAAGGAUAACUGCCUAGCGUGUUGAGACAUGGGUGGUCAGACACUUAAUGCCUGUUUCUCUUCUUUCCCCCAGGAAUUCAUGAACUUUUAAAAUACUUUAUUCUACAGAAGGAGAUCUUCUUAACUAAUUAGAAAAAGAAUCGGAUUUUACUGCUCCAGGAGUUGAGAAUGAACUUGGUUACUAAUCCCCAAAGUAAUAGAUAAACUAGGUGUGGAUGCUUCUUUACUAAAUUGUAUCAGAGAAUCACAAAUGAACAUGACUUGUGCAUGCAUAAACCUCAGCAGACUGAACUAACCAUCUUUAGAUUAUUUACACAUGUGCUCCUAAUUGAUAUGGUCACCUUUAUAUUAUAGGACAGCAUAUUUGCUUAUUAUUCACAGGUACAUGUAAAGGAGAAACGAGAGUGGCAGGAAUAGUUGGCCUCAUUCCUCUCCAACAGAGAAAUAAUUGCUCUUUGCUGCAGUUGUCAGCUGUCCUGCUGGAAUUUUGGAAACAGCAGGGCUGCAGAAGGAGGGCUUGAACUGUAAGUGUGAUGGAGGGCAUGCUUCCACUACACCCCUGGUUUGCAGCAUCUACAGUGCCUUAUCUUAGAAUGCAGAGUUAUUUUUCACAUGAUAGAGAAGGGGUUGGGGACCUUUGAAGACAAUAGGGGACAGCCUCCAAGUGCAAAGUCAGAAAUUCAGAGGCCUUGCUCCUGCCAGGCAAAACUUAUUUUCUACCUGUUUUCUCUCGAGUUCCCCUACUUAUCCCUCCCCCAGAGAGCUGAAACAGAGACCAUCUUGAUUGAUCUAGACUUGGUUUACACCUGAUAAGCCAAGAUUUUAUGAAUGUUUAACAGAGGUCAGAAAUUUGGAGAAAAUCUUAUAGUAGGCAUAUUACCUUUUAAAGCAUGAAUUAACUAAUGUUUUCCUCAAGAGUUUCAAAGGCAGUACAGAUCCUCAUUGUUUCCCAGCGAUUCUUUUGGGCAAGACAGUGAUAAGGUGGCUGGGACAAGCUUUCUUAAUCCUUCUUUUCAGGUAAGAAAACUGAAGCUCAGGAAAGUAUAAUUUUUUCUUAAUCACAUGGAGGGCCUGAAACACACCUGGAAAAAACAUUUUAGUCUAACAACAAAGAGUUCAUAAGUGUUAAGUCUUUUUCUUUUCUUUUUUUUUUUUUUUUUUUAAAAAAAGUCUUACUGUCACCCAGGCUGGAGUGUGGUGGGGUGAUCAUGGCUCACUGCAAUCUCAAACUUCCAGACUCAAGCAGUCCUCCCACCUCAGUCUCCCGAGUAGCUGGGACUACAGAUGCAUGCCACCAUGCCCAGCUAAAAUUUUUUUUAAGAGAUGGGAUCUCACUGUGUUGCCCAGGCUGGUCUCAAACUCUUGAGCUCAAGCGAUCCUUUUGAACCUACAAAGCUAUAGCGGAAUGUUUUUUUGCUCAACUGAUAAUGUAGUCAGUAUAACCAGUGUCUCUAGAUAAUGUGAGAAGUUGAAAGAGAAAGUGAAGCCUAUUUGCUGGAAGGCUGAGGCAAAGCCAACAUUUGGAGGUAAUUCUUAGAAGGUCCUGCACCUGCCUGUGCAUCAGGAAUGAUUUGGUAGUAGGGUAAUGUCCCUUAGACCAGUAGUCCCCAACCAUUUUGGCACCAGGGACCGGUUUCAUGGAAGACUAUUUUUCCACAGACAGGUUGGGGGGUGGUUUCAGGAUGAAACUUCUUCACCUCAAAUCAUCAGGCAUUAGUUAGAUUCUCAUAGGGAGCAUGCAACCUAUCCUCACAUGCGCAGUUCAAAAUAAGGUUCAAGUUCCGAUGAGAAUCUGAUGCCACCGCUGAUCUGACAGGAGGUGGAGCUCAGGCAGUAAUGCUUGCCUGCUCCUCACCUCCUGCUGUGUAGCCGGGUUCCUAACAGGCCACAGUACCAGUCCAUGGCACCAAGGUUGGGGACCCCUGCCUUAGACACCUUUUCUUGAGUUAGCAUAAGAUAAUUGCCUUAUGCCAGUUACUUCAUCUAUUUGAGCUUCAGAUUCCUCAUUUGUAAACUAGCCCAAUUGUUUCCUCACUAUAAACUCUAGCCUACCUCCCCCUGCAGUUUCAUAUUAUGCAAAUGCUAGGUCAUUUCAGAAUUCCGUCUUUUUGCACAUUUGUUCUCUUUCCCUGGAAUGCAUUUCUUCCCCUGGUAAACUCCUGUCUUCCCCUGACUUGGCCCCAUGAUACACACAGCACUUCAUACAGAUAAAAAAUAUUUUGUCUAGUGAUAGUUGUACAACUGUGAAUAUAUUAAAAACCAUUGAAGUGUAUUUUAAGUGAGUAAAUUUUACGGUAUGUGAGUUAUAUCUGAAUUUUUAAACAUGGAGGAUGGAGGGAAGCCUUCCCUACUACAUGGUGGGUUUCUGGAGGAAUAAGAUCUUCUCAUUUUCCUGUUAGAAUUUCCUUUGGCCCGUAUGAAACCUGGUCCAUAAUAAAGGCUCGGGUAAUAUUGUUGAAUAAACAAUGACCAUCUGAGGUUUGCUCUAAGGGAUUAAACGAAGAUGUAUGUGAUGGUAUUUAUCUUGCACAAUCCCCUUGUUGAAUUCAUUUAUUCAUGGCACUGUGUAGUGCUAAGCACUGAGGAUACAGAAUAAAUAAACAUCAUCCUGAUCUCAAGGAAUUUAUGGUCAGUGGAGGAGGCAGAUAUAUAAACAGACCAUAGCAUGGCAUUAGAGGUGCCACAGUAGACUUUGUGAGCAUACAAGAUAGAGCAUCCCAUUCAGCCCAGUGUUGGGGAAGGGAACAUCAGGA
rnacentral:lncRNA from 1 species